CGCAUUCCAGCACCGUCCACACUGGAGCCCCACAGCCCCGGACACAACGCACCCAAGUGACGUAGGAAGAGCAGCUUGAGGAGAAAACAGUUACAGAUGGAGAAAGAAUGAGUAUGACCGGAGCGAUUGCGCAGGUGCCCAAAGUCAAAAGAGAGGGAUUGAGGGCCGGUGCGUCUCUUUACUACAAAGCAAAGGUAUGUCUCAUGUCUCCCUCGGGCCCAGCGCACAUUCUUAUAAUGGAAGAUAAAUUUCCUCUGGGUCAUGAGCACACUAUAUCAAAAUAUGACACUUUGUUAUUCAUUUUAUACAUUUGGCAUUAAAAAAAGAUAAUAAACACGGUAAAAAAAAUCUACACGUAUUUAAUACAACAAACAUAUUCUCUGAAGUUAAGUCAAAAGAAAACACAACACAUUUUCUAAACUGUAAUAUUAAGCUAAUAUAAAAAUGUGUUCUGGGUACUCUCAAAUACAACAAAUCGGCUACUUAUAAUAUACAGUAUAAUAAAAUAAUAAAAUAACAUUUUUUAUUUAAAAUUAAAAUAUAACUCAAAUUUUAAUUAAUUAAUUUGCUAAAAUGCUUAAUAAUGCAAGUCUAUGCUGUGUCUACAACGUAGACGAUAGCGAUCACAUUGUUCAGCACGACUUUGACACCUGCAGUCAUCAGUGGUCGGUUGAGUUUAGAGUUGGUUUUAACCAUGUGAAUUUAAAUAUAGACUUAGAGCGACGUGCAUCAAGUCAUUCCCGGACUAAUAACUAUCAGUUUCAAUUUACACUUUCUGAAACUGGAGAAAAUCUAUAAACAGGUCAGUGCACUUGCACAUCAUUAAAGCGAAUCAAUUGAAUGCCAUCAAAGCAUUGAUUUCUUCAUUAAUUAAUAAAGCAUGGUUAUCAGUUCUAGUGGAUGUACGUUUAAUUUUGCCUAAACAGACAAAAAAAUCCCCCUUGUCUCUCACUAUCACUUGUUUUGUUUUCACUUACCUGUCCAGCUUGCUGAUCAUUCCGAAAGUCGAAACUUGCUAACUCAUUUAGUCUAGCGAAAGUCAGUGAGAGUUUAAAAAUGGUUUGAGGAAGAGGGAGGUAUAGAAAACCUAUGACAUGUUCGUAAAGCUGCAGGAAAGAGGGUCUCUGAUUGGGUGACAAUUGUUUUCAAACCUGCUUGGGAGGGCUGAGGUGCAUUUAAACAUCGAUACAGCUCAAUAACCCGCAUGUGAUAUUUAAAGAGAUAUGUAAAAGAGUUACAGUUGCACAGACAGUGUAAAUCAUGACUGAUUGUGAAUUGGAUGGCAUAACGGAUGAAUGGUUGCAUGCAUUUAUUAUCUAUUUUUAAACUCUGUAUUACUUUUCCAAGUUUAUACAAUAGCACUUGACCUUGUCCUAACCGCAUAUUAGUCUCUUGAGCGUUUGACGUGUUUUCUAACCUUUUUGCUCCAGAAUGUGCGUCAGAAAUUGCUGCCAACAGCAUAACCAAAGCCAGUUGGAAAUUUCCAGAUCUCGUGCAGCCAGUCAAGGAAGCCUCCACUUCAUUUUUCCCACACAAUUUCACAAAAAAAAAAAUCCCAUAUACCUUCUCUCUCUUGCUCAGAUUUUCUCCAUCCGCACCCUUUCCACUUGUUUAGUUUUUCCCACAGGGAAUAAAAAAGGAGGGAGGGGGGCUUGUUUUACUAUAGGAGGUCGCCACAACCCCUGAAGGUACCUUCUCAGAGGGUUUUUCCAAAAAAGCCACUUAACCCUCACAGAAGCACACACUCCAACGCACAGGUAGCCAGAAGGACCGGCGAAUCUGCCUGUUUUAGGAUUUACUGCACGCUUGUUAAUUUGUUGCUGUCUGCAACUGUCAACUGUUUCCUGGUGACUUUAAAGUUGGCAUCCUGUGUGUUUGUCUGUCUCCAGUCACUCGACUUCACCCUCUCAUGCACUCUGCGGCCAGGGAAAUCACCGCUCCCCAAUGAGCUCCCUCUCAAGUGUAUGUGUGUGUAUGUCUGAAUUCGAACAUCUGGAAGAGAUCUGUCUGCUCCCAUGAUUUACCUUCCGACCACAAGUCUUUCUGAGGUCUUACCACAAUGCACUAUGUGUGUAUAACAUGGGAAAACAGAGAAAAGAAUAUACUGUAGGUCCUGCUCCCAUUAAAGCUGAUUCUCAUGAUUUGUUUUUUAACUGCUAAUGAUUUGUUUUGAUGCGUGUUAUCAAGAAAAAUACUUUUGUCUAAGACAAACAUAUUGAUAUCAACUCGUGACACUAAUCAUUAUAAAUAGCCAGUUCGCAAAAAAAAAAAAUUUUUUACCUUUACAUCGCUCCAAACAUGUAUGACUUUUUAUCUUCUGUGGAACACAAAAAAAUAUAUUUUGAAUAUUCCAAUAUUAUGUUGCUCCAAAAGGGAACAAAGGAUCCAAAAAGGUUCUUCAAAAAACUAUUUAGUAAAAAGAUACCAAUAUAAUUGUUUUCUUAGUGUGAGAAAUAUUUAAAAAAUCUUAAGAACCUUUUAACAAUGAAAAACCUUGUUCAGUGGAAAGGUUCUAUGGAUGUUAAAGGUUCUCAAUGGAAACAUAUAUAAAUAAUAUAUAAAAGAACCUCUAAAACAGUUAAAACAUUCUUCAAAAUAUCUCCUUUUGUCUUCCUUAGAAGAAAGAACAUCAUGAGGGUUGAGUAAACGGUGAUAGAACUUUUUAACAUUUGGUUCUCACAGGUGACCCAAAGCCCACUUUCCUUUGUUUCUUGGUUAGGGUGGGCAAUGAAGACCACCAUAUUGUGACACAACAAAUGAAUCGAAUCAUGGCCGGAAACGCCAAGUCAAAUUUUCCGAAACACACCCACCUACAUGUUCAAACUCACACACACACACACACAAAGUAGCCCAUCGUGCAGACAAAAUCAACCACAACUCCAAACACACUUACUUUCCAGAGUCAUGAACUCACAUCUGUUUCCUGGCGACAAUAAUAGUUACACAUCGGUUAGGGGGCUAUAGUAGCAGGUGUUCAAUUGCCUUAGCAGCUCUGUACAUUAUAACAAAAGCUCCUCCACAACAAACCCGCCGCUAUGACUUGCAAAAGCUACCAAAAGGAAAGAUGAAGUAAUUGUGCUCAUUAGUUGACUAACACAAUUGCAGCCCAUGAAAACUUAGUGGCUGGUACUAAAACAGGUUUUUACAUUAAAGUUGUGCGUGUGCAUGACAAAGUGUGCAUGUCUAAAGAAAAAACAGAGUUACGGCUUCUUCUAGCUGUGGACUCAUUUUUGUAUCUCAAUGUGAGUACACUGAAGAGGUCUUUUAAAACGUGAUCAUUCAAAUCAUCCUGAAACUGGAUUUAAACCUAGAUAUGCACAAUACUGCUUACGUGAAAGUUAUAUCAAAACCAGUAAAAUGAGUACAACAGGCCUUACAUAUUUAUUACUUGAAAGCUCAUAUUAGUUUUAUCUCUUUUGAUUUAGGUAAAGUCCCAGACUGUAGAUAAACCCUUGUGAAAAAGAAAUGAGCUUAAUUCUAUUAAAUGUGUACCUGCAAUAUCCUUCAAAACAAAGUAUAUUUAAAGAAACUGAAAUUUAAGCUAUAAAAAUAACAAUAUAAAAGGACAUUUAAAUGUAGUUAAAGAGAGUACACUUGACUGUUUCUUAACAUACUUAAUUGCACUUAUUUUUAUUUAAAAGUACAAAUAUUUUUACUUAAUAUUGUGUCAUUCUUUUAAGUGCUUUUGUUUUGAUGUAUUGACUAAGAUUGGUUGUAACUAGUGUAUUUUAGUAAUUAUUAAAUGAAAGUGUUACUCCAACCAAAAAAAAAAAAAAACAUUUUCUUUCCGUACAAAAACUAUUCUUGUAGCUUCAUAGCAUUGCGGUUGAACCAGUGAUGACAGAUGGAGCAUUCAGACGAUACUUUUCUGCGCCUUGACAGUGGCAAUUGUUUGGCAGUCAAUAGGAUAGUCACAAGCCUCCUAGUUUAUAUUCAGAAUAUCUCAAAUUGUGUUCUGAAGACAAACAAAGCUCUUACGGGUUUGGAAAAACAUGGGGUAGUUGAUUAAGUAAGUGAUUAAUGACAAUAUUUCACAACGUGUAAACGUGUAAAGGGAAAGCACAAAAUGAAAGUUCUGUCAUCAGUUCUGUAUUCACCCUCAGUUGUUCCAAACCUGUUGAAAACAAAAGAAGAUAUUUCGAAAAAUGUUGCUGCGGGUGCCAUGUUCAGGAGAUGCUAUGUGUCAUUGUGAAAGUGGAACUACUUUGUUUGUGCUUCCAAAAGAGGACACAACUAGAAAUCGAUGGUCGAGCUGCAUUCACAACACUGUGCAUUUACAGAGGACUGAUUUCGAAAAUCCUGAAGAGCAGUCUAUGCUGGAUGUGAGACUAUAAAGCGGCGCAAUUCUAACUCUGCAAGGACUGUAUGGUGCUUCUGACUCAUAACCUUCAAGUAAGUUACGUUUUCUUAUAAAAAGAAUCUGCUACUUGCUAUUCAAACACGAGUUUUGGGCAGUGUUGAGUAAUGCUUGUUGUUUGUCGUUUCUCUAAUCACAAAUACAGACAUUGUGUUACGUUUACAAGGCACGAUGCAACUCGAAGCAUAAAAAGACAGUACAUGUCAGACCAAGUCAUUAUAAUUAGGAAUUAUGUCCCCACUGGAUACAACAAAUGGCUCUUUUGUAAUUUGUUUUAUUGUUUUGGUGUCAUAGUGCAGGGACGCAGCAUCACAUUAUAGUAAGGGGCGUAACAUUACAAGAAACAAGUAGAGUAAAUGACAGAAUUUUAGGAAAGCAAAAGCAGUGAAAGCCUUAAACAUGACUGUGCAGCUUUCUGUUGCAGGUGAGCAUCAACCCGACCACACAGCGAACUGUAUAAACAUCCGGUGGUGAAUGACUGACUAAGGUGCUGUUGGGUAGUAGUGUGAGUGGUUAAGGUAUAGCUGGUGCUUUAAGCUAACCACACAGAAUGAGCAGCUCUUAGUUUCAGAUACACUCAGCGUCACCAAACUGUAUCCACCCACACACAUUUAGAGCAGCAUGCGGGAAUUAACUGUACUUGCAGUGGCUUUUGCAUCAAAUUUAAAGCAAAAGGGCUGGAUAUGAGAGAUUGAACUCAAUUGGCAAUGACUUUACAUACUGUUGUUCCUGUGUUUGCUUCUGGUAAAAUCUAUCAGAGCAUUUCACUGCAGCAAAACCACAGAUAUAUUGGUACGGAAAGAUCAGUGAAGCAGCAAAAGAGGUACCCUUGCUUGGUAGAAACACAUUAAAAAGACACAAAGGUUUUCAUUCACUACUUUGAGCUUAAUUAAAAGAGAAUGGAAUGAGAAACUUGAGAGACAAAACUUUUAUUUGUACAUUAAAAAAAGCAUAUUCAUUAGCAGUCUAAUGAAACGUACAAAAUGUUUGCACAGAAACCCUCAAAUUCACUCAUAAAUACAACAUAAUAAAUAAGGUGAAUAAAUAAGGUAAACAAACGUAAAUCACUAUCUUUGUCCAAAAACAAAAGAUCAAUCCAUUCUAUAAACAAUAAAUCAUAUGACUGAUUGUCCUUUCAGGCUCAGGCUUUGCAACACAGGGAUGAUUUCUGUAACGUUCACAAACAUUAAAAAGCUCUUAUAAUCAACAGCGGAAUUGAUUUUAGAUGAUUUUGAUCUAUUCUGAGAGAGGUUCCUGAUGUUAGUGAUUCACUGGGAUGAUGUGAAAAUUAACAAAUCCAUUUAUAAAUCUGAAACUAAGCAUAGAGGGAAUAUUCAAGGUUCAAGUCGGCA